rnacentral:rRNA from 1 species
UAGAUACCCCACUAUGCUUAGCCCUAAAUCUUGACACUUUCCCCACUAGAGUGUCCGCCUGAGAACUACGAGCACAAACGCUUAAAACUCUAAGGACUUGGCGGUGCCCCAAACCCACCUAGAGGAGCCUGUUCUGUAAUCGAUAACCCACGAUACACCCGACCGCUCUUUGCCCUACCAGCCUAUAUACCGCCGUCGCCAGUUCACCUGUGCUGAAAGAACAAUAGUGGACACAAUAGCCCCAACCACGCUAGCAAGACAGGUCAAGGUAUAGCCCAUAGAGCGGAAGAAAUGGGCUACAUUUUCUAACCUAGAAAACCACGAAAAGGGGGAUGAAACCUCCCCCUAGAAGGCGGAUUUAGCAGUAAAGUAGGACUACAAUGCCACCUUAAAGCCGGCCCUGAGGCACGUACAUACCGCCCGUCACCCUCCUCGCAAGCUUCGUUAACAAGUAACUGACUCCAAU